UGGGUGCUAUGACGAAAAUGUAUCUAUUUAGCUGACAAAACAAGUAAACUCGGCCAUAACGACUCGGGGGUUUCUAAGAACAUCCCUUCCUAGUUUCUAUAUUUGGAAAUGACUUCUAGGAAAACAGAAACUGCUCCAUAUCCAGUUCCACGAGUUUAACUUCGCUCCCUUUUAAAGCAAAAGAAAAGCAUCGGGCAGCAGCAGGACGCUCGCAUGUGAGCGAUUCUACAUAGGCUACUGCCUCCCAUUGAUGAUCAUUAAUAGACUGGAGAAUGUCGGCAAGGAAUUUAGCGCACAAUUGGCGUGUGUUGCUGAAAAUGGCAUCUCCUCCUGCACAGCCCCUGCUUACCUAGUAGCGUGACCAUGAAGCAAUGAACGAGCAGAGAGUCCUUAACAUGCACAGAGUCAGUCUGCUGCUCUAGACGCUUGCUCAUCUCACCAGCAGGAGCACGUAUAGCGUGCUCUUAAAGAAACAAGAUCUCAUUCAAAUCAGCCAGAUGUUUCUUUCAAUCCCACAGUGCUUCUUUAUUCAUUCGAGAUUCCUUUAAAUGUUCAGAAGAAGCCACUGGAGACCUUCCUGUUCCCUUUUCCAAGCAGCUACUUGUUAAAGUAUUUAAAGCUUCCAGCAACCAGAUGCACUUCAUGGCGAUAGAUAAAGAAAACCCAUGCGCCAGGAGUUAAAAAGUCAAACAAGUAAGAACAUUGUCUACAAUUUCAAGAUGCUCUUGGAGGAAGUAAACAAGCAGACAUACAGACGUGAAAAUAAGAACCCUCUUCUUUCCCCCCCUUCCAUGUGACUGCAGAGGCAUAUGACUUCCAUAACUUCAUCGCUCAUUAACCGCUGAUGGCAGGACACAAUUGAGUGAGUGUUUGUAAAACUUGCCCUAGAUAUUCAGAUCUCAGUCCUUGGCUUUGGCUGUUGGGCAGAUCUUCUCCUGUUUCAGAUAGCGUCACCCUGCCUGACAACAGACCGUGAGGAACUUCACAUGAGAGUCCCAUGUAAGGAGUGAACUAUGGGAUACAACGGCUAUGACCAUUUAAAUCCCUUAACAAGCACCACAGAAAAACAAAUGACAGAUUAGCAUGAUUUACCAUGGCAGUGUUAUUAAAUUACCUCAGACACAUGAGCCAACAAUUGAGUUAUUUAAAUGUGCAGAGACAGUGGAAUAGCUAUGUAAGCACUGUGUAGCCUAUUCUUUGUCUAUUAAUGAUUUGGUACACCAGACUUUGUAAGGUCUUGAAUAGAGCUAGUAUUGAUUAUACCAAAAAUACAUAGGAAAUAGGCCUAGGCUAUCUUUAAAAAA